AGGAUGAACGCUGGCGGUCUGCUUAACACAUGCAAGUCGAACGGAGUACCUCGGUACUUAGUGGCGGACGGGUGAGUAACGCGUGAGAAUCUGCCCUUAGGUCGGGGACAACCAUUGGAAACGAUGGCUAAUACCGGAUAAGCCGAGAGGUAAAAGAUUAAUUGCCUAGGGAAGAGCUCGCGUCUGAUUAGCUAGUUGGUGAGGUAAAGGCUCACCAAGGCAUCGAUCAGUAGCUGGUCUGAGAGGAUGAUCAGCCACACUGGGACUGAGACACGGCCCAGACUCCUACGGGAGGCAGCAGUGGGGAAUUUUCCGCAAUGGGCGAAAGCCUGACGGAGCAAGACCGCGUGAGGGAGGAAGGCUCUUGGGUUGUAAACCUCUUUUCUUGGGAAGAACAAAAUGACGGUACCCAAGGAAUCAGCAUCGGCUAACUCCGCGCCAGCAGCCGC
rnacentral:rRNA from 1 species